GCCGAGAAGAGGACGAGGGAAACUCUAAGAGCACUGGGAAUAGGAUCAUAGAGGAAAUUCUAGAGCUCGAUUUCUCCUUUAGUGUCAGAGGUACAAAUUUGCUUUGUAUUUUCCCGAUGCCUCAUAUUCCUAUCGAUCUUAGGCACUCUUCCUCUUCCUUUUGGUU
rfam:Triticum aestivum genome assembly, contig: Triticum_aestivum_CS42_TGACv1_scaffold_456744_5DS